rnacentral:tRNA from 1 species
GGAGGGGUGGCCGAGUGGUCUAUGGCGGCGGUCUUGAAAACCGCUGUGCUCGCGAGAGCACCGGGGGUUCGAAUCCCUCCCCCUCCGCCA